AGGAUACCUUCUCCUUCUUUGCCUUCUCGCCCAGUUCUUCCAAGCCGGUGUAUAUACUGCUCUCGAUCAACAGGAAGACCAACCUGAAUAACAAGUGUAACAUCAGGAUAAUUCAUCCCCCGAGCUGACACAUCAGAGGUUAUAAGAAUUACACGUUUCGUUUCCUUGAAUUCAUCAGAGAUUCGAGUACGAUAAAGUUGAG
rnacentral:misc_RNA from 1 species